rnacentral:lncRNA from 7 species
CUCUCCUGUGUGCGCCCCCUCCCAGCCUCUGGGCACCCCCAGCUCUGCAAUGGAGACAGAGUGCGAAACAGGGAAGGUCGUGACUCUGAAAGCGCUGCUCUAAGACAGGGCUGAGUUAUCAGUGCUGUUUUGGUCACGAAUCCAAAUCACAGAAGCUCCUGUGAGGAAAAUUAACUAUCACGGACAAAACCUGAGAUCAUUUAUUUGUUUGAAUGACUUUAAUGUAGUUAAAAUCGUGGGAACAGGCAGAAAAACCCAGCGAGGUGUUCGGCAGACAGACAAAUGUAUAUGAAGAAGAACUGGAAAAAUGGAAGCAUAAGACAAAGCCAAGGAGCAGAAAGAAAGCAGUGGAGGAAGGAAACACAUGCCACUGAAUUUCAAAGAGAAGCUGUACAAGAAGGAAAAGACAAAAAAAGAUUUUAUAGGAUUACUUUUCUAACAAACUCUAUGCCUGAGAGCCUUUCAAAGAUUGAAGGGCUGAGACAUGAGAAAGCGUGGGUUCUGCAGCAGCUAGAAUGAGAAAAGACCCCGAUCAAGAAUUCUGGGCAUCUGAGCAUUGACUGUUCUGUCCCCAGUAAAAAACAGCAAGUGUAUUUUUUUUUGUUUACAGUGAGAAAAGACCAUGUUCUGAGAACAACACGAAUGCGUGCCAACUCUACAUCUUUCUUUAAUACCUUGUAGUUGUUUAUGGAGAGAGGUCCCUAGAGUUCAGGGAAGUGACAUGAGCCUUAAAUUAUACUUCAUAUAAGCUGUAUUACAUAUUUAUUCGAUUUCUGUUUUGAAAAAGGAAAAGAGAAAUAAGGAUACUGCAUAAUUUUAAUAAUCCUUAUCUAGAGUAAAGUCAGAAGUUUGUUUCUUCAUGUAAUUCAGCUAAUACUAGCUGUUACUUCAAGAACUAAUUUAUCUCAGUAUAUGCUUUUAAAAGCUACGUCUUUCAUUUUAUUAAGAUUGCGAGCUUUUUUCUCUCAGGUGUCAGGCAUAUUUCUAUAGUGAGGGUAACAAUGCACUGGAUCACAGCCAGUGUUUUGUUUUUUUGUUUUUUUUUUCAUUAGUUUGAAUUGUUUGUAAUAGUUUAGGCAUUGAUAUGGUAUAGUGCAACAUGUAAGCAGCUGGUUUUCUUAUGGAAAUGCAGUGAUUUUAUCAAGAAUUGUUGUAUUAUAAUUGUGUUAUAAAUCCUACAUUAAUGAAAUGAGAAAUGAUGU